UGCAUCUGCAUAAGCUCCACGGAAGGGAGGAAAAACCUUUGAUCUAGGUUCUGGAGCCUUAAUUGGCCCAGCUGUCACAGGUUAAAAUUAUUAGCCCACAAGCUGGUCAUUGGAGAAUUUGAAUGUAACCUAGGAUUGUGAUUGGACCUGGGGUUCUGGUUCCACGUGCAAUUUGUGAAUAAAGAUCUUAGGAAUGGCUGGGGAAAGCGCUCUGAAAUCCGCCCGGCUGCUAACGUUCGACCUGGCAGCCGUCUUUUGUCUCUUUGUGAUGAAGAUUUUCUAGGACUUCUGAAUGUGGAUCAACUGAAGGACUCUGAACUAUCCUAUCUUUGCCUUAGUGUGUAGAAGAUUGUACUCAGAAAAAGAGCCACUUCAUUGGGAAACGAGGGGCACUUCUCAACAUCCCUUAUGAAACUCCAACAUGUACAGAUGUACAAAAAGAAAUCUUAGGCGGGGAAAACCACAGCCUAAGAUGUAAAAGCAAAAUUCAAGACAUUCCCACAGACUGGCACAGGGGCAAAAUGGAAUAGGAGAAUGUAACAACUGGUUGCCUAGAUCAAUGAACGAGAGCACUCCACAAUGCAACAGUUUAUUGCAGGUUGAGUUCCAGAAGACACAGGAUGGCUCCAGCAAAGGCUGUGUUCCUAAUCUAGGACCAGCAACUGGUAGGGUCUAGAAACCCCGGGAAAUAUCAAGAUUUCACUUGAGCUGGGCCCACCAUCUUGGCCAAGUCCCCUUUGAAACAUUCAUGUUAACUAGUUUUUACAUAGCUUUUGUAUGUUGUGGCUUAUUUUCCUCAGUGUGUGAGUUUACAGGACUUUCUGACUUUGCUAAAAUAACUAUUUUCCCUGCAUAAA